UACAGAGGUCCCAAGCGUUGUUCGGAUUCACUGGGCGUAAAGGGUGCGUAGGCGGUGAGGUAAGUCUGACGUGAAAUCUCCGGGCUCAACCCGGAAACUGCGUUGGAUACUAUCUCGCUAGAGGAAUGGAGGGGAGACUGGAAUUCACGGUGUAGCAGUGAAAUGCGUAGAUAUCGUGAGGAAGACCAGUGGCGAAGGCGGGUCUCUGGACAGUUCCUGACGCUGAGGCGCGAAGGCCAGGGGAGCAAACGGG
rnacentral:rRNA from 1 species